rnacentral:tRNA from 1 species
GAGAGAGGCUCGCUAGCAAUAAGAACUGCUAAUUCUUACCACCUUGGUUGGACCCCAGGGCUCCCUCG